CUCCCUGAGGUCACUCUGAAGCUGCAUGCUGCCCAAGCACAGCAAAGAUUUUAUUGUUGUUUUUUGUUUUCCCCUCCUUCUCACUGCCUACAGAGCCAAAGGGCCUGUUUGUUUUCCUCUUAGUUAUCAGAAAGGUUUAUUUGCGAUUGCUUGAGAGAGGAAAAAAACCCUCUGUAGCCACAGGCAGACAAGCUCAGUGCUCAGGAACAUAAUGGCUGGAGCCUGCAGGCCCAUAUGCUCGCCAUCCUGUGAGGUGGAAGGCCAGCUCCGAUCAUCUCCAGCUGCUCAGGAUACAAUUGAUCAGCACCUCACCCUACCCUCAGUGUCUUUGUGAAGGACAAUUUUGGAAGAUCACCAGGUUGCACCUUCAAAGACUGGGCCUUUAGUGAUGCUAGGUUUUCUGCAGGCAGUGAUUUUGUAUUUCACAGGAUCUCCUACACACUGCAACCUUUUACAGCCCACUAUCGCUCAAUCCAGAAGCACAGACUGCUAAUAGCAUGAGAUGAAUAACAGUCCAGAUCCUGACAGCCAUCCAAAGUUCCUGACCAGCGAAAGUGCUCUUACAAGGUUCCCAGCUCAGCAGAGGACAACACCAUGAUGCUUAUGGAUGCAUCUGACUCUCAGUUAAUUCUACAAAUUACCUAGGCACCCACAUGCCAUUGUCUUUGGGCAAGCAUCCACAUCAGGUGCCACAAUGCCUAAGGCAGGCAUGUAAACUAGGUAUUACAGUAUGAGAUUGGAUUUCCAAUCCUGAAUUUGAAACUGUCCUGCUAGACGAUUUUUAAGACACUUCACCUCUGAGUGCCUCUCUUUAAAAUGUUAAGACAGGUAACAAUCACAGUGCAUUGGAAGUAAGACAGCAAUUAGUUCUAGGUGCUUGUGAAUAAAACAUGCUUUACUGAAGACAUGAAAAGACUCAAUAAAUGGGUCGCUAAAUGAAUCUGAAGACCUUUGUGAUACUGGAUAAUUUGGCUAAGAUAGGAUAGUAUUAGAAAGUAAAACCAAGCAGAUGUCUUGGUCACUAUUGUGACUCCACAGAACUAAAUUCUUGUUACCAGUAAACAAUAGCCCUUCCACUUCUAACAAGAGAACCUGUCUUUAGUCUGCCACAAAACAAACAAACAAACAAAAAAACCUGUUAAAAUCUUUUUGAUGUUGCUACAAGGAAAGUGUGAAAAACCUGCCAUUAUGACAGCUCUCCCCAUCUCCGGAGCCAAGCUCUACAGACAGCCAAUAUCAUGUGCGUCCACAUGUGACGGAUCUUACUUGGGCAUGAAAUUUUCAUUAGUUCUUGAGCAGUGCACAGAGGCAGGGUUUAACCAAUCUAAUGAGCUAACACAUACCACUGCCUGACUGGUUAUAGCAGCAAAAAAAGCCAAGAAGGGAAUUUGAUUGAUCCUGUAUACCACUCUUGAUAUAUUUUUCCACCUUACGCUACAACAGCAUUACCAGUUCUUCUACAACAGAGAAGAGAAUGCUACAGGCCAGUAACUUGAGAAGAUCUUUGUUUCCCUCUAUAAUUUCUGUAGACACAAUAAAAAUGAUUUUAUCAGUGAGAAGUGACUCCAGUUUGUUCUUCAGUAGAACAACUUCUAGAGGAAGUCCUGAAAACACAAAAAGCAAGGGUGCUUGUUUUUGUUUUCUGAAUAGAAACUGCCAGACAAAUCCUCAAGCUCUCUAAUACAUGUGAAAUCUUAAGUAACAUCAGCAUCUCUUAGAACUCUGAGCUGGAAUCAAAGACCAUAGAAAAGACCUUUCAGAGUGCAGUAAACUGGCAGUUCACUUCAUCUCACAAGGCAACCUAUUCCUCCUCUUCAGUAUGAUGCCCACAGGAGCUGAACUCUGAGCAGAACCCAUUAAAACUAAGUUCUCCCUUCUGUGUGUUCUUACUCCAAGCAUAGCACUACGCAUAACAGAAAAAUGACAGCACCCACUCCCAAGAAAUUAAAUCCCUGGAUAGCCUUUGAAACAUCUGAAUAUCAUAUUAAUGUAAGAAGGCUUAUACUCCUAGCCCCCGGUCCCCCAGUAUUACCAAGAAGGUACUAACAGCAGACAAUACAAGCACAGAACACUUUUUCAAGCUCCUCUUGCAUCAUAGCUCUGGACACCAGAAAAUUCCUGUAGUUUUCUGAGAAAGAAAAUAUUCACAUCUCAAUGAAAGGAAAAAUAAAGUCACCAUCACCUCAAGAUGGGAAGAAUUUCAGGUGACAUAAGAAUAAAAGUAACCCAUAGAUUGAAAAAGAGCAAGUUUGGCCUCAAUAACAUUUGAACAAAACAUUUGUACUUGAAAUAUCCAAACCAGGGGUAUGUUUCCCAGCAAGGAAUCCUGCCACUGAUACAUAUAGGUCCAGGGCUUUCUCCUCUAAAGACCGAGAUAACAUUCAGAAGAUGAUCCAAUAUACAACAGUCCAGUUUCACUGCACGUCUUCACACAGCUGGACCAACAGCCCACUCAGAGGCAAAUCACAGAAAGAAAGGCUGUGAGCUCUGUGAGUACUAAUGGAGGCUCUUUACAGCUCCUCGCAGAGCACUCACUUUCAUGCUGACAAGCACUGUCUGCGAUCCGCAGGAGCGAC
ensembl:lncRNA